UAGCGGCAGAAGUGUUCAUACCAGUGCCUCAUUUGCUCAUCAAUGCUUCCCUGUGAACUCAAGUCUUGCUUAGUUCAUUCCAGUCAUUCAUAGCACAGAAAGAUUGUUCUUUUUUUCACUCGAUUGAUGAGCGUGGUAGACUAUUGGUGCAUGUGUUGAUACAUUUUUUCUUUUCGAGGGUGCACCUUUACGAGAGUAGAGGUCGCAGCAACGUGAAAUUAGAUCCUGCUGCUCGUGUAUAGCUGCGCGAAAGACAACAUGAGCAUAAAGUUUGUCCAGAGGAAUAAAGCUUGAUAGCGCAGAGCUAACUUCACAAGAAAAAAAUAUAAAUAACGGAUAAUGCAACUGAGAGUACCAGGAGGUCGACCAGGACUCUCAAUUGCAAUAGGAGGCGCAUGAGGGCGAAAACAAAAUAUGCAAUGCACAUUUACGGCCACGACUUAACUUAAACGUUGUUGUGCCUGCACACGAAUUUCGAAACGAAAAAAAAGAGAAUGAAAUCAGAAACAUUCUAGUCUGUGAUUUUUGAAUGAAUGUUGAACCCGUCUGCGUGUACAACUGGCUGCGGUGCUAUUCAAGAGAGCUCCAUAGCAAAUGAACAAAAUUUGCCUACAGUGGCGGACGUUAGAUGAUGAUAAGCGUUAUAAUGAAGAGAAGCAAUAUAAAGUAGAGAUAGACAUAAUGGUCCAGUGUAACGUUAAUGGAGGCAGUAAAAUCACGUUAGCUCAAGCAGCCUAGGUGACUAUUUGUCGCCGCCUCGUUUCAAACGUGAUGCCAUUAGAAACCAUCAUCAUCAAUGAUAAGAUCAAAACAACAGUUGUCCUCCACGCACGUCGCUGUUUAUCGAGACAAAUUGUUUUCACCAACGCUUUCGUUCAAAGGGAAACUUCUGACGAAAGUUACAAGAAGAUGAACCACAAAUCUCACCUUCA
rnacentral:lncRNA from 1 species